GGGGAUCAGGUCACCCAGGAGGGUGGGGUGACCAGAGGCCAGGGUUCCAGAAAGGGCUGGCACCUGACCAUGUUGGACUAGGGUGACAGGGACUGGGUCCAUGUGCCACAAUCCACACGAGGGUGUCCCAUUUGUCCCUCUACCUCCCCCCACGGAGGUGGGAACCUGGGGCUGGUGAGGGUGAUGGCACCUCUCUGCAGGGCCCCCAGAUUCCUGAUGCAUAAGGAAACAGCGCCCACUCGUCCCACUUCUCAGGUCGUUGAACACCAGCAGUCACGGAACACCGAGGCAUGAUCCACGCAGCAUGACAGCCUAGGGGGACCUCUGGUCCCUGGACUCUCCCCUCUCCCCACUGAGGUCUGGCGUCAGCAUGGGCCCUCUCACAUGCCCUCAACUGUUCUGCCCUGGUCAAAACAGCCACUGUCUAGGCCCCACCUUCAUCCUGUGUUCUUGGAGGAAAAAGGGUCUCUCUGCUGGGCUCCUGCUCAAGGGCACACGACACCUGCUCCCCAUCAUCAGAUCCUGUCUACUGCAUCACUCCAACGGGCACCUGUCAUCACUCCAUCUUAAACACGCCAUUCCGCACCCCAUGCCUCUGUCUCGCUGCUCUCCUUUACAGCAAACUCAGGGACAGAAUGCAAAUACUCAUCCUCGGAACUCCUGCCUGUCUUUUGUCCCCACCCAUAUCUCAUCUUGAAUUUGCACAUGCUGUGGGAGGGACCCGGUGGGAGGUAAUUGAAUCAUGGGGCAGGUCUUUCCCAUGCUGUUCUCGUGAUAGUGAGUAAGUCUCACGAGAUCUGACAGUAUCAUAUUAGGGGGAGUUUCCCUGCCCAAUCUCGCUCUUUGCCUGCCGCCAUCCACGUAAGAUGUGACUUGCUCCUCCUUGCCUUCCACCAUGAUUGUGAGGCCUCCCCAGCCAUGUGGAACUGUAAGUCACUAAACCUCUGUCUUUUGUAAAUUGCCCAGUGUCGGGUGUGUCUUUAUUAGCACCGUGAAAACGGACUAAUACACCACCAUUCCACAAAACCUGCACUCGCCAAAUCUGAGUUAGCUCCCAGGCCAUAAGCUGGGGACCCCUCUCCUGGCUUCUCACCUUUCAGGCUGACUACUCCCAAGUGCUGCCCCUAGGCCCAAGCACCAUGCCUCGACUUCCCCUCCACCUGAGCAAUGGCUCCUUGGCGCCUCCUCCUGUCUCACAGCUCUAAAGGCUCUCUCUGUGGUGACAAUUCCCAGUCUCCAACCUGGGCCACGCCGGUGACUUGCUCAUCCAAUCGCCCACCAGCGUUUCCAUGAGGAGGCCCAACAGGCAUCUGAGACUCAACACAGCCAAAGCCACAGCCCAAACUCCGCCGGUAUUAUAUUAGGGGGAGUUUGUGGGAGAUACCUGGUGGGAGGUAAAAUCCCUGUACCACCCUGCCUCGACCUUUCCCAUCUUGGUUAAGGAUAACUUUCUCCUUAAAAUUGCUUACGCCCAAAACACUGUAACUUAAAUAAAACGGACAAAUUCCUCUAAAGACACAAACAGAUGAUCUGAAUAGACCUACAACAAAUAGAGAUUGAAUUAAUAAUCAAAAUAAGUAAUCAAAAAAGCCCAGACCCAAAUGGCUUCAAUAAUGAAUUCUAUGAAACACUUAAACAAUUAAAGCUGGGUCCAGUGGCUUGUGCCUGUGAUCCCAGCUACUCAGGAGGCUUGAGGUGGGAGGAUCAGUUGAAGCCAGGAAUUGGUGACCAGCCUGGAUGAUACAGUGAACAGCCAUCUUAAAAAAAAAAAAAAAAAAAAAAAGAGGAACACUUCCAACUCAUUUUAUGAGGCCCAGUAGGACACUGAUACCGAUACCAAAACCAGACACAGACACCACAAGAAAACUUCAGACCAGUAUCUAUGAUGAAUAUGGAUAAAAAAAAUCACUCAACAAAAUUGUAUUAAACUGAAUCCAGGAAGACAGAUACUCCAUGACCAACUGGAAUUUAUCUGAACGCAGGGGAUAAGUGUCUUUUCAAUAUCUGAAAGUCAAUUAAUGUAACACACCACAUUACUAGAACAAGGAAAAAAACCCAUGAUCAUCAUCUCAAUGGAUGUGGAAAAAUCAUUUAACCAAAUCUGACACGUUUUCAUGAUAAACACACUCAACAAACUAGAAAUAGAAGAUACUUCCUCGGCUGGGCGUGGUAGCUCAC
rnacentral:lncRNA from 10 species